rnacentral:rRNA from 1 species
GACGAACGCUGGCGGCGUGCCUAAUACAUGCAAGUAGAGCGGAUCUUCAUUAGCUUGCUUUUGAAGAUCAGCGGCGGACGGGUGAGUAACACGUGGGCAACCUGCCUGUAAGACUGGGAUAACUUCGGGAAACAGGAGCUAAUACCGGAUAAUCCUUUCCCUAACAUGAGGGAACGCUGAAAGACGGUUUCGGCUGUUACGUACAGCAGGGCCCGCGGCGCAUUAGCGAGUUGGUGAGGUAAUGGCUCACCAAGGCGAGGAUGCGUAGCAGACCAGAGAGGGUGAUCGGCCACACUGGGACUGAGACACGGCCCAGACUCCUACGGGAGGCAGCAGUAGGGAAUCUUCCGCAAUGGACGAAAGUCUGACGGAGCAACGCCGCGUGAGCGAUGAAGGCCUUCGGGUCGUAAAGCUCUGUUGUCAGGGAAGAACAAGUACCGGAGUAACUGCCGGUACCUUGACGGUACCUGACCAGAAAGCCACGGCUAACUACGUGCCAGCAGCCGCCGUAAUAC